GCUGUUCCUUUCCCUUUGUGCUUUUAAACGCAGCCAGGAAACUUAAUGUAUUCGCCAGGGGAGGGGCGGGAUGAAAGCGCUUUUAACCUCCCCGCCAUAAACUUUAAUCGGAUUCUGGGCUGUUGCACGGCAUGGACACCUCGCCUCUUGUCUGCGUCUCCUUUCCCGUUGUCUCCCAUGUCUACUUUUACUACGGUCUGGUUUGAGAGAGCCUCUUUCAAGCGAAUGAGUGAUUUCUUUCUCUUGCCAUGUGCAAUCGCUCCCCCCCUUCCCUUCCUACCCUCGCUGGCCUCUCUUACACACACUACGCCUUUCACAUGCGGCCUGCGCCUCCCCCCCCCAACCCCCCCUCCCUUUCAUUUUUUUUUUUUUUUUUUUUUUUUUGCAGUGUCUUCACAUGCAAUCUCUCUCUGAAUGUGCAGUGUCUUUCCUGCUCGGGAGUGCUGCGUCCUUCACAGUGGAUUGGUUCCUUUUUCGGAGCAGAGCAUGUUCUGCAAAAGUGAAGCCAUUGGUUUUUUAGCAAUUUUCUGAAUAAAAUCUGAAGGCUUACGUCUGACACCUCAUUAAAGUCUACAAGGGACACUACAUGACUCCUAGCAUGAUUCAAAGAAGAUAUAUUUAAUUUACUACAGUUCCAAAAAGUUCAUGAACGCAAAGUAAUGAGAAGAAAAGUUUUCUAGUUUUCAUAUGUGUCAUUCCUGGAAGAAGUUAUUGACUUAACUUGGUGUUAUUACUAGUCUGAAAGUUAUAAGUAAGAAUGAUAACAUCAGCUCCUUGCCUGGAAACUACUUUCUCCAGCAUUAGGUGACUUCUCUUUUGGGACAUAGCAGUGUGGAGCAGGAAGCUGCCAUGUUUGAACACAAAGGAAUGAAAGUUAGAUCUGAAGAGAGAGAAAAGAUGAAGAAAGGUUAUUGACUGCCCUAAAUAUCAAUAAUGUAAAAAAAUAACUGUGAAAUUUACUAUAAAAUUAUCCCAUUUAUGCUCUCCAUAAACAAGGGUGAUAUUGUAUAUAUUUAGCUGUUCAGAUAACAAAGGUUUAUUCAUCUGAUCAGAAUGAUAUGGUCCUGAUGGCCAAGCAUGUAAGCAUUACUAAUAUAGCAUAUGAUUAAACUUUUGUUGUGUUUUCAAUUUGUUUGUUUGGGUUUUGGCUGGGAAAUGAUAUAGCAAAAGAAUUAAUAUAAAAAAAACCCAAACUAUUAUCAAGAACACUAUUUAUAUUGCCAGAUAAAACACUCAUAAAUGAUAAAAUAUCAGAAUAAUACUGUCAUCAGACCCUUAAUUUAGAUGCCAAUGCACUGUCCAUUGCAAUUUUCGGUUGCAAUUUAAUUAGAUGUUCCCAUAGUCUUUCUUCACUGCAUUUCAA